rnacentral:rRNA from 1 species
AGUGAACGCUGGCGGUAGGCCUAACACAUGCAAGUCGAACGGCAGCACAGUAAGAGCUUGCUCUUACGGGUGGCGAGUGGCGGACGGGUGAGGAAUACAUCGGCAUCUACUUUUUCGUGGGGGAUAACGUAGGGAAACUUACGAUACUACCGCAUACGACCUACGGGUGAAAGCAGGGGAUCUUCGGACCUUGCGCGAUUGAAUGAGCCGAUGUCGGAUUAGCUAGUUGGCGGGGUAAAGGCCCACCAAGGCGACGAUCCGUAGCUGGUCUGAGAGGAUGAUCAGCCACACUGGAACUGAGACACGGUCCAGACUCCUACGGGAGGCAGCAGUGGGGAAUAUUGGACAAUGGGCGCAAGCCUGAUCCAGCCAUACCGCGUGAGUGAAGAAGGCCUUCGGGUUGUAAAGCCCUUUUGUUGGGAAAGAAAAGCAGCAUGUUAAUACCCCGCUGUUCUGACGGUACCCAAAGAAUAAGCACCGGCUAACUUCGUG